rnacentral:rRNA from 1 species
UUGACCUCGGAUCAGGUAGGAAUACCCGCUGAACUUAAGCAUAUCAAUAAGCGGAGGAAAAGAAACCAACAGGGAUUGCCCUAGUAACGGCGAGUGAAGCGGCAACAGCUCAAUUUGAAAUCUGGCCCUCGGGUCCGAAUUGUAAUUUGUAGAGGAUGCUUUUGGUGCGGUGCCUUCCGAGUUCCCUGGAACGGGACGCC